CGCGGGGUGGAGCAGCCCGGUAGCUCGUCAGGCUCAUAACCUGAGGUCACAGGUUCAAAUCCUGUCCCCGCAACCA
rnacentral:tRNA from 1 species